rnacentral:other from 1 species
AGACUCCUGCGAUGUGCGUUACGGCUUUCGUUGUUUUGAACCAAUGAUGGUUUCUAGGGAGUUCAACAUUGAGUCUCUGCUGACAAGCUCUUCACUGAGUAGUCAAACGUGGCUUUGAGGGCACCCACCUGUGAGAGCAGGUUCAGAAACAUUAAAGUCGAACGGCAUUCGCGGGUUUUCU